CGAACGCUGGCGGCGUGCUUAACACAUGCAAGUCGAACGCGAACGAGUUCUUCGGAACUUUAGUAGAGUGGCGCACGGGUGAGUAACGCGUAAGUAAUCUACCCUCGCAUUCGGGAUAACGCAGCGAAAGGUGUGCUAAUACCGGAUACGUCUAUUUUAAUAUCUUUUUUUUAGAGAAAGGUGGCCUCUGAUUCAAGCUACUGUGCGAGGAGGAGCUUGCGUACCAUUAGCUUGUUGGUAGGGUAACGGCCUACCAAGGCAACGAUGGUUAGCGGGUCUGAGAGGAUGAUCCGCCACACUGGAACUGAAACACGGACCAGACUCCUACGGGAGGCAGCAGUGAGGAAUAUUGCGCAAUGGGGGCAACCCUGACGCAGCGACGCCGCGUGGAUGAUGAAGGCCUUCGGGUUGUAAAAUCCUGUCAGAUGGGAAGAAGUGUGCAGUGGUAAAUAGCCAUUGCAUUUGACGGUACCAUCAAAGGAAGCACCGGCUAACUCC
rnacentral:rRNA from 1 species